AUUGAACGCUGGCGGCAGGCUUAACACAUGCAAGUCGAGCGGGGGAAGGUAGCUUGCUACCGGACCUAGCGGCGGACGGGUGAGUAAUGCUUAGGAAUCUGCCUAUUAGUGGGGGACAACAUCUCGAAAGGGAUGCUAAUACCGCAGACGUCCUACGGGAGAAAGCAGGGGAUCUUGGGACCUUGCGCUAAUAGAUGAGCCUAAGUCGGAUUAGCUAGUUGGUGAGGUAAAGGCCUACCAAGGCGACGACCUGUAGCGGGUCUGAGAGGAUGAUCCGCCACACUGGGACUGAGACACGGCCCAGACUCCUACGGGAGGCAGCAGUGGGGAAUAUUGGACAAUGGGGGGAACCCUGAUCCAGCCAUGCCGCGUGUGUGAAGAAGGCCUUAUGGUUGUAAAGCACUUUAAGCGAGGAGGAGGCUACUCUAGUUAAUACCUAGGGAUAGUGGACGUUACUCGCAGAAUAAGCACCGGCUAACUCUGUGCCAGCAGCCGCCGUAA
rnacentral:rRNA from 1 species